rnacentral:lncRNA from 1 species
UUGUGCUGGUGUCUGACAGUUACGAGGAGCUCAGCGCACAUUACUGCACACCAGUGAGAAAUGCAGACUGCCAUCACAGUAGGCUGAAGUGAAUAGCAGUAUGAAUGAACCUGGCUUGAAUGCUGAGAAGGACAAGGUGAUGCAGCACACUGCGAUUUUGUAUGAGGAUCAGCUGAACAGUGAGUUUGUACAAAUUGAUAACCAUGUGGUAUACUCACUCUGCUCAAGGUGAUCUUUAAAUUGAACAUUGAUGAUGCAGCUGGGUCCGCUGUGUAUACAGAAAACUGCCCACUCAUUACAUGUCACCAGAAACAGGCUGCUAUCUGGUGACCAAUGGUUUUUGAAUU